AACUUUGCACAGUGGCAGUAUCGAAGCCAAUGAGGUUUAUCUGAGGCGCAAUUAUUGCUAAAUGGAUUUUCUACAUAAAA
rfam:Mustela putorius furo unplaced genomic scaffold scaffold00057, whole genome shotgun sequence.